GACGAACGCUGGCGGCGUGCCUAAUACAUGCAAGUCGAACGAGAGCGACCGGUGCUUGCACUGGUCAAUCUAGUGGCGAACGGGUGAGUAACACGUGGGUAACCUGCCCAUCAGAGGGGGAUAACAUCCGGAAACGGAUGCUAAAACCGCAUAGGUCUUCGAACCGCAUGGUUUGAAGAGGAAAAGAGGCGCAAGCUUCUGCUGAUGGAUGGACCCGCGGUGCAUUAGCUAGUUGGUGAGGUAACGGCUCACCAAGGCCGUGAUGCAUAGCCGACCUGAGAGGGUGAUCGGCCACAUUGGGACUGAGACACGGCCCAAACGCCUGCGGGAGGCAGCAGUAGGGAAUCUUCCGCAAUGGACGCAAGUCUGACGGAGCAACGCCGCGUGAGUGAAGAAGGUUUUCGGAUCGUAAAACUCUGUUGUUAGAGAAGAACAAGUGCUAGAGUAACUGUUAGCGCCUUGACGGUAUCUAACCAGAAAGCCACGGCUAACUACGUG
rnacentral:rRNA from 1 species